AGACAGAGGUCCCGAGCGUUAUCCGGAUUCACUGGGCGUAAAGAGCGUGUAGGCGGCGGAGCGUGUCGACUGUGAAAGCCCCCGGCUCAACCGGGGGAGGACGGACGAAACUGCUCCGCUCGAGCCCCGGAGGGGGGAGCGGAACUGCCGGAGUAGCGGUGAAAUGCGCAGAUACCGGCAGGUACCUCGAUAGCGAAGGCAGCUCCCUGGCCGAGAGCUGACGCUGAGGCGCGAAAGCGUGGGGAGCGAACCGGAUUAGAAACCCCAGUAGUCC
rnacentral:rRNA from 1 species